AAGUCGUAACAAGGUAACCGUAGGUGAACCUGCGGUUGGAUCAUUACAAAAGAUGCUUGCCUGGUCGCGAAUCCGGAGGGUCUUACCCAAUGGCUCGUUCGUUGGCCUUGCAACAUAUCCACCCCACCUGUGAACUGUAAACGUAUUUUGGCGGCCCUCCAAAAACUCGAUCGGAUGCAAGUCUGGUUGAAUGGGCCGUCAGCCCCCCCAAUUUUAAUAAACACCUUUAUUAUUCUGAGUCUGUUUGAAAGCGCGACGUGAUUUAUUUCGCUGAACGCCGACGAAUAACAAAAACCAAAAAAUUAAAAACAACUUUUGACAACGGAUCUCUUGGCUCUC
rnacentral:misc_RNA from 1 species